rnacentral:rRNA from 1 species
CCUACGGGUGGCAGCAGUGGGGAAUAUUGCGCAAUGGGCGAAAGCCUGACGCAGCGACGCCGCGUGAGGGAUGAAGGUCUUCGGAUCGUAAACCUCUGUCAGCAGGGAAGAACGGUCACUGUGCUAAUCAGCAGUGAAUUGACGGUACCUGCAAAGGAAGCACCGGCUAACUCCGUGCCAGCAGCCGCGGUAAUAAGGCGGGGGCGAGCGUUAAUCGGAAGUUCUGGGCGUAAAGCGCUCGUAGGCGGUAUGUCAAGUCAAGGGUGAAAUGCCCGCGCACAACGUGGGAACUGCCUUUGAAACUGGCAAACUGGAGUGUGUGAGAGGAUAGUGGAAUUCCAGGUGUAGGAGUGAAAUCCGUAGAGAUCUGGAGGAACAUCAGUGGCGAAGGCGACUAUCUGGCACAUAACUGACGCUGAGGAGCGAAAGCGUGGGUAGCAAACAGGAUUAGAUACCCGUGUAGUC